AGCAGCCGCGGUAAUUCCAGCUCCAAUAGCGUAUAUUAAAGUUGUUGCAGUUAAAAAGCUCGUAGUUGAAUUUCGGGAUCAAUAUGUUGGUCGUGCCUCGGUACGUACUAGCUUAUUGGUUUCUCCUUUCUGAAGAACCAUGAUGUCAUUUAUUUGGUGUCGUGGGGAAUCAGGACUGUUACUUUGAAAAAAUUAGAGUGUUUAAAGCAGGCUCACGCUUGAAUACAUUAGCAUGGAAUAAUGAAAUAGGACGUUUGAUUCUAUUUUGUUGGUUUCUAGGAUCGACGUAAUGAUUAAUAGGGAUAGUUGGGGCAUUAGUAUUCAAUUGUCAGAGGUGAAAUUCUUGGAUUUAUUGAAGACUAACUACUGCGAAAGCAUUUGCCAAGGAUGUUUUCAUUAAUCAAGAACGAAAGUCAGGGGAUCGAAGACGAUCAGAUACCGUCGUAGUCUUAACCAUAAACUAUGCCGACUAGGGAUCGGAUGAUGUUAAUUUUUUU
rnacentral:misc_RNA from 1 species